AAGCUUUAAAAGCUGGUUGCAGGCGCUGGUUUCUCUUCCUUCUGCUACAGCAACCUGCGAGGGGCUGGGCAGUGGCCAAGUGAGAAGUCCUCUACCCCGGCUCCAGAUGGUCCCUCCCCCUGGGCUGGCUGUGCUGGCCCUCUUCCUAUUCUUGGAAGCUUGGUCCUACCACAGGGCCCUUGCACCUCUUGUUCCCUCUGCCUGGAAUUCUCUGCCCUCAGACACUGGCAUGGCUUCGCCUCCAGGGUCUCUCACCAGCCUGCCACCUAGGGCUGCAGUCUCAUCUGAAGGCUCCGGCAGGAGUGCAAUCGGCAGGUUUGGGGUGCUCGAAAUCCUGCAUGUGCUGUGUGCAGGCCUGGCCCUGGCCCUGCUCCUGGAAGGUCAUCCUUCAGCCCCUGGAGUGUGUCUGCACGGUUUAUGGUGAGGGCCUCGGGCCACCAUGCAUCACCAGCACGAUCUCUAGAGGGACCAGAACCUGUGGCCAGUCACAGGGAUGGUCAGCCUCUGCCUAUGUGACCAACCCCCAGAAAAACCCCAGACACCAAGGUGAGUUUCCCUGGCUGUCAGUCCUCUGCACAUGCUGCCACACACCACUGCCAAGAGGACGAAAGGCUGUCUGCGUGACUCCACGGGGAGGGGAUACCCGGGAGCUUGUGCCUGGUCUCCCCUGGACCCUGCCCUAGGCGCCUUGAUCCUCUGUUGAUUUUAACUGCAUCCUUUCCUGGAAAUAAACUGU